AUUGAACGCUGGCGGCAGGCCUAACACAUGCAAGUCGAACGAGUGGCGGACGGGUGAGUAAUGUCUGGGAAACUGCCUGAUGGAGGGGGAUCACUACUGGAAACGGUAGCUAAUACCGCAUACCAUCGGAUGUGCCCAGAUGGGAUUAGCUAGUAGGUGGGGUAAAGGCUCACAUAGGCGACGAUCCCUAGCUGGUCUGAGAGGAUGACCGGCCACACUGGAACUGAGACACGGUCCAGACUCCUACGGGAGGCAGCAUUGGGGAAUAUUGCACAUUGGGCGCAAGCCUGAGGCAGCCAUGCCGCGUGUAUGAAGAAGGCCUUCGGUUUGUAAAGUACUUUCAGCGGGGAGGCGUUACCCGCAGAAGAAGCACCGGCUAACUCCGUGCCAGCAGCCGCGGUAAUUC
rnacentral:rRNA from 1 species